rnacentral:rRNA from 1 species
AUCGCAACAAUGUGGGUCAUUUGCUAUAGAUGACAUUGCAAGAAGUUCACUGAACCUUAUCAUUUAGAGGAAGGAGAAGUCAUAACAAGGUUUCCAUAGGUGAACCUACGGAAGGAUCAUUAUUGAU